rnacentral:lncRNA from 12 species
GCUUUAUUAAACCCAGCAAAAUUUUCCAGUUGUUUAAACCAGGAGAUUACAGCCGUCAAUAUUGAGAGUGUGCUCAUUUUUGGUUUUCAAGUUACUUCACCGGACCAGUAAUCAAGGUAAUACAAACUGCAGUUGG